CUCUUCUUGUCAGUUUUUGAAGUAUGACCUGCCCCCUGAUGAUUGUUAUGAUUUAAAGGGCCGCGGUAUACUGACCGUGCAAAGGUAGCAUAAUCAUUAGUUCUUUAAUUGUGAUCUGGUAUGAACGGUUUGACGAGGUAUAGUCUGUCUUAAAUGGAUCUUUUUGGAAUUUGGUUUCUUAGUUAGAAUUCUUAGAUGGUUUUGUGGGACGAGAAGACCCUAUAGAGUUUUACAUUUUACUUUCUUUGCGUGUUUGGGGCUUAUUUAGCGAAGGGUUUAUAUUUGUUUUGUUGGGGCGAUGGGAGGGAUUUGGUUAACCCCUCCUUUAUUUAUGGUUACACUUAUUUUUGGUUUUUUGAUCCUUUUUUUGAGAUUGUAAGAUUAAACUACC
rnacentral:rRNA from 1 species